rnacentral:piRNA from 1 species
UAUCAAGGAACAGCAGGGCCGCAGGACG